GAUGAAGAACGCAGCGAAAUGCGAUAAGUAAUGUGAAUUGCAGAAUUCAGUGAAUCAUCGAAUCUUUGAACGCACAUUGCGCCCGCCAGUAUUCUGGCGGGCAUGCCUGUUCGAGCGUCAUUACAACCCUCAGGCCCCCGGGCCUGGCGUUGGGGAUCGGCGGAAGCCCCCUGCGGGCACAACGCCGUCCCCCAAAUACAUUGGCGGUCCCGCCGCAGCUUCCAUUGCGUAGUAGCUAACACCUCGCAACUGGAGAGCGGCGCGGCCACGCCGUAAAACACCCAACUUCUGAAUGUUGACCUCGAAUCAGGUAGGAAUACCCGCUGAACUUAAGCAUAUCAAUAAGCGGAGGA
rnacentral:misc_RNA from 1 species